CUGGAGACAGGUGCUGCAUGGCUGUCGUCAGCUCGUGUCGUGAGAUGUUGGGUUAAGUCCCGCAACGAGCGCAACCCUUGCCUUUAGUUGCCAGCAGUUCGGCUGGGCGACUCUAAAGGGACUGCCGGUGUUAAACCGGAGGAAGGUGGGGAUGACGUCAAGUCCUCAUGGCCUUUAUGACCAGGGCUACACACGUACUACAAUGGCCGAUACAAAGGGCAGCGACACUGCGAGGUGAAGCCAAUCCCGUAAAAUCGGUCUCAGUCCGGAUUGGAGUCUGCAACUCGACUCCAUGAAGUUGGAAUCGCUAGUAAUCGUGGAUCAGCAUGCCACGGUGAAUACGUUCCCGGGCCUU
rnacentral:rRNA from 1 species